CCUACGGGAGGCAGCAGUGGGGAAUAUUGCACAAUGGGGGUAACCCUGAUGCAGCGACGCCGCGUGAGUGAAGAAGUAUUUCGGUAUGUAAAGCUCUAUCAGCCGGGAAGAAAGUGACGGUACCUGAUUAAGAAGCCCCGGGUAACUACGUGCCAGCAGCCGCGGUAAUACGGAGGGGGCAAGCGGUAUCCGGAUUUACUGGGUGUAAAGGGGGCGUAGACGGCAGCGCAAGUCUCGAGUGAAAUGGCUGGGGUUAACCCCGGAACUGCCUUGGAAACUGUGCAGCUAGAGUGCAGGAGAGGUAAGUGGAAUGCCUAGUGUAGCGGUGAAAUGCGUAGAUAUUAGGAGGAACACCAGUGGCGAAGGCGGCUUACUGGACUGUAACUGACGUUGAGGCUCGAAAGCGUGGGGAGCAAACAGGAUUAGAUACCCCUGUAGUC
rnacentral:rRNA from 1 species